UGGAGAUUACUAGCAUUAAUGGUGCUGCCUGCUUCUGUAAGUUUCUAGCUCUUUCAUGGUGGUGGACCCCGAACAUAUUCCAUUGAUUUGAUGUUUCUUUAGGCGAUUUGAUCACCAUCUCCAUAAUCAAAUCCAAUCGAUUGGAUUAAGUAAAUAUCGAGUGGUUUCGCUGUCGAUGGAUUCUAUUCUCACUGGCUACAACAGAGAAUUGAUGCUGAAAUUCAGAUACAGAUACAGAGACAGUUGCAAAGCAAUAGAUUGUGAGUUUCCUUACGUUGUAUGGGAGACUAGCGCCAGCGAUGAUUCAACCGCCAUUGCCAUCAUCUCCACCGGUGCUUGAACUUCCACCCUUCUCGUGAUGAUAGUACUCCCUCGGUAUGUUGUGAUGGUUGUCCGUGGUGCCAUCCACGUCCCCUGCCCCGACUCUCA